AACGCGAAGAACCUUACCAAGGUUUGACAUGCAGGGAAAAGCCGUAGAGAUAUGGUGUCCGUAAGGGCCCUGCACAGGUGGUGCAUGGCUGUCGUCAGCUCGUGUCGUGAGAUGUUGGGUUAAGUCCCGCAACGAGCGCAACCCUCGUCCUAUGUUGCCAGCGGGUUAUGCCGGGGACUCAUAGGAGACUGCCGGGGUCAACUCGGAGGAAGGUGGGGAUGACGUCAAGUCAUCAUGCCCCUUAAGUCUUGGGCUGCAAACAUGCUACAAUGGCCGGUACAGAGGGCUGCGAGACCGUAAGGUGGAGCGAAUCUCAAAAAGCCGGUCUCAGUUCGGAUUGGGGUCUGCAACUCGACCCCAUGAAGUCGGAGUCGCUAGUAAUCGCGAAUCAGCAACGUCGCGGUGAAUACGUUCCCGGGCCUUGUA
rnacentral:rRNA from 1 species